GGGGAAGACCCAGGACACGUUGGGAAGACUAUGUCUCCCGGCUGGCCUGGGAACGCCUCGGGAUCCCCCGGGAAGAGCUGGACGAAGUGGCUGUGGAGAGGGAAGUCUGGGUUUCCCUGCUUAGGCUGUUGCCCCCGCGACCCGACCUCGGAUAAGCGGAAGAUGAUGGAUGGAUGGAUGGAUAUAUAUAAUAAUAUAAAUACCGGGAAUUCAACAGUGGAAAUAAGCUAAAAAUUCAAAUUCUAAAACUGAAGAGGCCAAUAUACUGAAGGUAUACGGGACCGCGAAAACAGAAACAUCCGUAGCCAUAAACAAACAUACUGGAGGACGGCAGAGCCCACGAUGAAUUGAAAAUCCUGAAGGGCGACGGAGUCCAAAACCCAGACCUGAAACGGUUUUUCAGAAAACUGACAUUUUUUUUACGUGAAAAACAAUAAACUGGAGGGCGUCGGAGUCCACAAUGAAAAAUGUAAAUUUCCGCCGAUCAAUAUACUGAAAAGUGUGAAAGUGGGAGUGUGUGGAAGUAAUUGCCAUUAGACUAUCACUCCAUAGUAAAGUUGUGAGAAGUAAACAGUGGGUUAUUGUGGAAGAAUUAUUCAAGACACCUCCACGAUAAUAUAAAUUAAACCGCUAUCUUAGUGAAUUAUAUUUAUAUAGCGCUUUUCUCUAGUGACUCAAAGCGCUUUACAUAGUGACACCCAAUAUCUAAUUUACAUUUAAACCAGUGUGGGUGGCACUGGGAGCAGGUGGGUAAAGUGUCUUGCCCAAGGACACAACGGCAGUGACUAGGAUGGCGGAAGCGGGAAUCGAACCUGCAACCCUCAAGUUGCUGGCACGGCCGCUCUACCAACCGAGCUAUACCGAGCUUACAACAAAGACAAAAUUAGUCCUUAUAAGUUCGGCUCUCAAGGGGACGGCGGAUUACUUUGAAUUUACAAAAUGGGAAAAGGGACGAGUAAACCAAAGUAUAGUCCAAAAGAUGAACUAAAAUGUAAAGAUUAGAAAGUAAUCGAAAAACAGGAUCCUGAUAGAAUGGAUAAAUUAUUCAAAAAUUGAGGGCCAAUUAAAAACAACUUUGUUGUCCUGAAGUCAACUGUUAAUAUUAUUUACGUAAUUACAUGAUAAUACUUUUGUAUUACUUAAUAUUUUGUUUUAGUAACUGCAAUGCUUUAAUUUGGAGUUAAAGUUGUUUAUAUUUAUUGUACGCUACGAUCGGUAAACAGCAGUUAGAUGAUGUCACUUCCGCUAAAUUGGUGGACUUCUGGUAUUUCUUCGUAAGCAUUUUGUGUUUAGGGCACGUCCAACCGGUAGGAGGCCACGGGGAAGACCCAGGACACGUUGGGAAGGCCUGGGAACGCCUCAGGAUCCCCCGGGAAGAGCUAGACGAAGUGGCUGGGGUUGAGGGAAGUCUUGGUUUCCCUACUUAGGCUGUUGCCCCCGCGACCCGACCUCGGAUAAGCGGAAGAAGAUGGAUGGAUGGAUAUUUAAACGCUCCCUGAUGGCCUGAUUGUAGUACAACAACCCAUGCAACUGUCAAAUGUUCAAACAUCACCCCACCAACAGAACUAGCACUUGGUCAGGACGACUUGACCUCUUAGAUUAGAUUAGAUUAGAUAGUACUUUAUUAAUUCCGUCAGGAGAGUUCCUUCGGGAAAAUUACAAUUUUCAGCACAAUCCCAUUCUAGAUCAGACAAAUAUGACAGGGAGACAGAACAGGAUCGGUGACGGGUCUGCCGGUUUCCAGCGCCCCUUACAGAAAAGAUGAGAUACAGGUAAACAAGGGGGGUGGGGGGGAAUGGGAGGAAAAAAUAGAAGAUGAAAAUAAAAUAAAAAAAUGGGUCUUAGCCUGGGCUCUGGAGAGGGGGUGCAGACUGAGGCCUCGGGAUCCCCCGGGAAGAGCUAGACGAAGUGGCUGGGGUUGAGGGAAGUCUGGGUUUCCCUGCUUAGGCUGUUGCCCCCGCGACCCAACCUCGGAUAAAAAAAAAUAUAUAUAUAUAUAUAUAUAUUUUUUUUUGUAUUAAAUCAACAUAAAAAACACAAUAUACACUUACAAAUAGUGCACCAACCACAAAAAACUAAAUUUUUCAUGACAAAAACGUCCCUUUUUCAUGGGCCGCGGGACAAAUUAUUCGGUCCGCGGAUACAAAAAGGUUGGGGACCACUGAUUUAGGCAGAUGGGAGUCUCCCUCUGCUGGACAUUUUCCGACAUUACCGUUACAUUUUUAUAUCAAUCAAUCAAUGUUUACUUAUAUAGCCCUGAAUCACUAGUGUCUCAAAGGGCUGCACAAACCACUACCACAUCCUCAGUAGGCCCACAUAAGGGCAAGGAAAACUCACACCCAGUGGGACGUCGGUGACAAUGAUGACUAUGAGAACCUUGGAGAGGAGGAAAGCAAUGGAUGUCGAGCGGGUCUAACAUGAUACUGUGAAACUUCAAUCCAUAAUGGAUCCAACACAGUCGCGAGAGUCCAGUCCAAAGCGGAUCCAACACAGCAGCGAGAGUCCCGUUCACAGUGGAGCCAGCAGGAAACCAUCCAAAGCGGAGGCGGAUCCGCAGCCGAUACACAGGCGAGCAGUACAUGGCCACCGGAUCGGACCGGACCCCCUCCACAAGGGAGAGUGGGACAUAGGAGAAAAAGAAAAGAAACGGCAGAUCAACUGGUCUAAAAAGGGAGUAUGUCAUUGUAAACGAAUAUGCACAGAGGCAAUAAGUGUGUUGUGUCUCCUUCUUCUUUUCAGUUUUUCACCAUCUUGUCCAUGAAGAAAAUUGUCAAAAGUAAAAGGUCACGCUUACAACGACCUUCUCUUCAUUGACUCCGGUUUGGCUUGGUGUUGAGUUGGCGUUUUUUCAACGUCUCACGAGAACACUAAAACAACCAAAUUAGUAGAACUUGGUUCUUUUGCCAAUCUGCAAUCGUGCUGGGGGAAACGGAUAUGCCAUUUAUCAACAACACCCAGGAACACCGCCGGCUUUGCUGGGCCCGAGCUCAUCCAAGAUGGACUGAUGCAAAGUGGAAAAGUGUUCUGUGGUCUGACGAGUCCACAUUUCAAAUUGUGUUUGGAAACUGUGGACGUGUGGAAACAGUAAAUAAAAAGAGAAUACUACAAAUCA